rnacentral:rRNA from 1 species
AGGAACCUGCCUUGGAGAGGGGAAUAACACUCCGAAAGGAGUGCUAAUACCGCAUGAUGCAGUUGAGUCGCAUGGCUCUGACUGCCAAAGAUUUAUCGCUCUGAGAUGGCCUCGCGUCUGAUUAGCUAGUAGGCGGGGUAACGGCCCACCUAGGCGACGAUCAGUAGCCGGACUGGGAGGUUGAACGGCCACAUUGGGACUGAGACACGGCCCAG